rnacentral:rRNA from 1 species
GGAGGGUGCAAGCGUUAUCCGGAUUUACUGGGUUUAAAGGGUGCGCAGGCGGAUAUGUAAGUCAGUGGUGAAAUCUUUAGGCUUAACCUGAAAAUUGCCGUUGAUACUAUAUAUCUUGAAUGCUGUGGAGGUAAGCGGAAUAUGUCAUGUAGCGGUGAAAUGCUUAGAUAUGACAUAGAACACCUAUUGCGAAGGCAGCUUACUACGCAGAUAUUGACGCUCAUGCACGAAAGCGUGGGGAUCAAACAGGAUUAGAUACCCUGGUAGUCCACGCCCUAAACGAUGAUUACUCGACAUACGCGAUACACUGUGUGUGUCUGAGCGAAAGCAUUAAGUAAUCCACCUGGGAAGUACGACCGCAAGGUUGAA